AUUGAACGCUGGCGGCAGGCCUAACACAUGCAAGUCGAACGGAGUGGCGGACGGGUGAGUAAUGUCUGGGAAACUGCCUGAUGGAGGGGGAUAACGUCCGGAAACGGGCGCUAAUACCGCAUACUAUCAGAUGAGCCUAGGUCGGAUUAGCUAGUUGGUGGGGUAAAGGCUUACCAAGGCGACGAUCCCUAACUGGUCUGAUAGGAUGAUCAGGCACACUGGAACUGAGACACGGUCCAGACUCCUACGGGAGGCAGCAGUGGGGAAUAUUGGACAAUGGGCGAAAGCCUGAUGCAGCCAUGCCGCGUGUGUGAAGAAGGUCUUCGGAUUGUAAAGUACUUUAAGUUGGGAGGCGUUACCAGCAGAAUAAGCACCGGCUAACUUCGUGCCAGCAGCCGCGGUAAUAC
rnacentral:rRNA from 1 species